AGCUUGGAGAUCCUUCACUGAGAGACGUCGGGAAGGAUCGAAGGGCGAGCGCAAGAGAGAGCUCGAGUCGCGAGCUCAGCCCACCCUCCACCGAGAGACUUCGGGGAAGGCAGGCGGCAAGCGACUUCGAGAGGGUCAGAUCCGGCCGGUGGAGGCUCGGAUCUGGCCUGAGUGAGAGAAGAUCGAGGCCGAGGAAGGUCCAGCCGAGAUUUACGCCUCAGAUCUGUUUUUUUUGCCGCUGUUGUUGCCGCCGAACGCUGUGCCGCCGCCGUUCGCCUCGACCGAGAUCCCGACGCCGUUGCUCCGACCGAUUCGCCCAAAGCCGCACC
rnacentral:lncRNA from 1 species